rnacentral:rRNA from 1 species
CCUGCGGAGGGAUCAUUACUGAGUUUACGCUCUAUAACCCUUUGUGAACAUACCUAUAACUGUUGCUUCGGCGGGUAGGGUCUCCGCGACCCUCCCGGCCUCCCGCCUCCGGGCGGGUCGGCGCCCGCCGGAGGAUAAACCAAACUCUGAUUUAACGACGUUUCUUCUGAGUGGUACAAGCAAAUAAUCAAAACUUUUAACAACGGAUCUCUUGGUUCUGGCAUCGAUGAAGAACGCAGCGAAAUGCGAUAAGUAAUGUGAAUUGCAGAAUUCAGUGAAUCAUCGAAUCUUUGAACGCACAUUGCGCCCGCCAGCAUUCUGGCGGGCAUGCCUGUUCGAGCGUCAUUUCAACCCUCAAGCUCUGCUUGGUGUUGGGGCCCUACAGUUGAUGUAGGCCCUCAAAGGUAGUGGCGGACCCUCCCGGAGCCUCCUUUGCGUAGUAACUUUACGUCUCGCACUGGGAUCCGGAGGGACUCUUGCCGUAAAACCCCCCAAUUUUCCAAAGGUUGACCUCGGAUCAGGUAGGAAUACCCGCUGAACUUAAGCAUAUCAAAAAA